rnacentral:rRNA from 1 species
AUUGAACGCUGGCGGCAGGCCUAACACAUGCAAGUCGAGCGGAUGAAGGGAGCUUGCUCCUGGAUUCAGCGGCGGACGGGUGAGUAAUGCCUUGGAAUCUGCCUGGUAGUGGGGGAUAACGUCCGGAAACGGGCGCUAAUACCGCAUACGUCCUGAGGGAGAAAGUGGGGGAUCUUCGGACCUCACGCUAUCAGAUGAGCCUAGGUCGGAUUAGCUAGUUGGUGGGGUAAAGGCCUACCAAGGCGACGAUCCGUAACUGGUCUGAGAGGAUGAUCAGUCACACUGGAACUGAGACACGGUCCAGACUCCUACGGGAGGCAGCAGUGGGGAAUAUUGGACAAUGGGCGAAAGCCUGAUCCAGCCAUGCCGCGUGUGUGAAGAAGGUCUUCGGAUUGUAAAGCACUUUAAGUUGGAAGGAAGGGCAGUAAGUUAAUACCUUGCUGUUUUGACGUUACCAACAGAAUAAGCACCGGCUAACUUCGUG